UAUUCUGUUGUCAGUCAUAUUAUCUCUUUCAGUCUGUCUCUCUGCUUCCUUCUCUCUCUGUCAGAAGUGUACGUAUAUUUGCAGAAAUAUUUUUUUUCACUAUUAUCUUUUAAGAGUGUUGGAUUUGCAGAAUUUUUAGAAUGUUGAGGAUAAAGAUACCUUACAGUAUCUCUUGUCUCUUUGCAUUCUGAGUUCAAAUCCCAUUUAGGUCAACUUUGCCUAAUAUCCACCCUCAGGUCAUAAAAUACCAGUACCAGUGAAGUACUAGGAUCAAUUUAAUCUACUAACCCAUCCCAAUAAAAUUGCCAGUCAUGUGCUUAAUUUAGAAACAAUUAUGCUUAUAAUGGAGAAAUAUCAAGUUACCUUAAAUUUUCCACUAUUUUUGUAUUUCUGCUUUGUAGCUGUCAGUGUGUGUUUGAUACUGUAUGACUUUGCAUUGUUACCAAGCUUGUGGUUCAGCUUGCCAUGAUCAGUGGGAAAAAAGUAAAGAAAAGGUAAAUUUGAUGUCAAGAAGGGAAUUCGGUCAUAGAAUUUUCCUCUCACCCAUACCAGCAUGGGAAAAAAAACAACAAAAAAACAAAUGUUAAAAAAAUUAUAUCAUCAUCCUCAUCAUUUAAUGCCCAUUUUCUAUGCUGGCAUGGGUCAGAUUGUUCCAUAGGAGCUGGCCAGCUGUAGAGCUGCUCAGGCACUGAUUGUUUGUUUUGGUAUGGUUUCUAUGGUGGGAUGCCCUUCCUAAUGCCUACCACUUUACAGAGUAUAAACGUGUGCUUUUUAUAUGGCAUUGACAUGGGUGCUUUAUAUGAGGCACCAGCACGGGCACUUUAUAUGUGGCACCAGCAUGGGCACUUUAUGUGACACAAGCAUGGGCACUUUAUAUGUGACACCAGCACGGGCACUUUAUAUGUGACACCAGCACGGGCACUUUAUAUGUGGCACAAGCACGGGCACUUUAUAUGUGGCACAAGCAUGGGCACUUUAUAUGUGACACCAGCACGGGCACUUUAUAGGUGGCAUCAGCACGGGCACUGUAUAUGUGACACCAGCACGGGCACUUUAUAUGUGGCACAAGCAUGGGCACUUUAUAUGUGACACCAGCACGGGCACUUUAUAGGUGGCAUCAGCACGGGCACUGUAUAUGUGACACCAGCAUGGGCACUUUAUAUGAGGCACCAGCAUGGGCACUUUAUAUGUGACACCAGCAUGGGCACUUUAUAUGUGGCACCAGCACGGGCACUUUAUAUGUGGAAUCAGCAUGGGCACUUUAUGAGGUACCAGCAUGGGCACUUUAUAUGUGGCACCAGCAUGGGCACUUUAUAUGUGGAACCAGCAUGGGCACUUCAUAUGUGGCACCAGCAUGGGCACUUCAUAUGUGGCACCAGCAUGGGCACUUUAUAUGAGGUACCAGCAUGGGCACUUUAUAUGUGACACCAGCAUGGGCACUUUAUAUGUGACACCAGCAUGGGCACUUUAUAUGAGGCACCAGCAUGGGCACUUUAUAUGUGACACCAGCAUGGGCACUUUAUGUGGCACCAGCAUGGGCACUUUAUAUGUGACACCAGCAUGGGCAUGUAGCACCAGCACAGGCACCUUAUAUGUGGAACCAGCAUGGGCACUUUAUGUGUGACACAUUUAUGGGUACUUUAUAUGUGGCACCAGCAUGGGCACUUUAUAUGUGGCACUUUAUAUGUAGCACCAGCAUGGGCACUGUAUAUGUGGAACCAGCACAGGCACCUUAUAUGUGGAACCAGCAUGGGCACUUUAUGUGUGACACCAGCAUGGGUACUUUAUAUGUGGCACCAGGACGGGCAUUUUAUAUGUGGCACAAGUAUGGGUACUUUAUAUGUGGAACCAGCAUGGGUGCUUUUUAUGUGAAACCAAAACAGGUACUUUUUAUGUGGCACUAGCACCUGCAAGCUUGCAUGGCACCAGCACUUACAAGCAUAAUUAGGGUGGAAAACUGGCAGAGUUAUUAGAAUAUCAGGCAAAAUUCCUAGCAUUGUUUCUUCUGAUUCUUUACAGUCUGCGGUCAACUUAACCUUUCAUCCCUCCAGGGUCAAUAAAAUAAAGUACCAGUCAAGUACUGGGGUUGAUUU